rnacentral:rRNA from 1 species
AGACCCGAAACCCGGUGAUCUAGCCAUGGGCAGGUUGAAGGUUGGGUAACACUAACUGGAGGACCGAACCGACUAAUGUUGAAAAAUUAGCGGAUGACCUGUGGCUGGGGGUGAAAGGCCAAUCAAACCGGGAGAUAGCUGGUUCUCCCCGAAAGCUAUUUAGGUAGCGCCUCGUGAAUUCAUCUCCGGGGGUAGAGCACUGUUUCGGCUAGGGGGCCAUCCCGGCUUACCAACCCGAUGCAAACUGCGAAUACCGGAGAAUGUUAUCACGGGAGACACACGGCGGGUGCUAACGUCCGUCGUGAAGAGGGAAACAACCCAGACCGCCAGCUAAGGUCCCAAAGUCAUGGUUAAGUGGGAAACGAUGUGGGAAGGCCCAGACAGCCAGGAUGUUGGCUUAGAAGCAGCCAUCAUUUAAAGAAAGCGUAAUAGCUCACUGGUCGAGUCGGCCUGCGCGGAAGAUGUAACGGGGCUAAACCAUGCACCGAAGCUGCGGCAGCGACACUGUGUGUUGUUGGGUAGGGGAGCGUUCUGUAAGCCUGUGAAGGUGUGUCGUGAGGCAUGCUGGAGGUAUCAGAAGUGCGAAUGCUGACAUAAGUAACGAUAAAGCGGGUGAAAAGCCCGCUCGCCGGAAGACCAAGG